CUCUCUCUCUCUCUCUCUCUCUCUCUCUCUCUCUCUCAUGCAGCUUUGUAAGGAAAGAAGAGAGCAGGAAGGUUUACGCAGCUUGUUCAAGAAUGAAUCUUGAUCAGUUGGGGGGGGUGGGGUGGGGGAGAGAAGAGAUGACACAUGAAAUGUUAAUCAAGAUCUGCUUUUGCCUUAACCCACAUGCUUAACCCCUUGAAUAGAGAGUGAAAUUUAUGUUUUCAGAUGCUUUAUUUGAAGCAGGCAAGAUGGAUGUAGUGCCUAUCCGAUGCCUCAUCAACAGUAUUUCUCGAUUUGUUCAUCUUGUCUCUUGUCAGACUAUAAAAGUUACAGCUCUUCAAAUGGACUACAAGAGUAUGGCUGUUGUCUUGAAACUCUUGAAAUCAGUCCUUGAUGAAGUUGUUGAAUCCAAGAUACCUUCAGAUGUUAUCCUAUAUAAAGAGUGUGAAAACCUAGAUAUGGCUGUUAAUGAGGCACGUGAAUUCGUAGAGAACUGGUCUCCGAA